GGUUAUUCAAGGAUCCUUUGAUGCAUUAUGUUAGGUAUGAAGGAAAAUCAAUUCUGGCUUCAAAAGGGACGUUUCUUUUGAUGAAUAAAUGGAAAUUUUACCUUGUCAAUUUUUGGCAAUGCCAUUUUUCUAUGUACUUUCACACAGGAAGGAUCCAUAUAAACCAAUUAUCCAACCAUUCCCGUGACUUUAUGGGCUAUCUUUCAAGCNUUAUGUUAGGUAUGAAGGAAAAUCAAUUCUGGCUUCAAAAGGGACGUUUCUUUUGAUGAAUAAAUGGAAAUUUUACCUUGUCAAUUUUUGGCAAUGUCAUUUUUCUAUGUACUUUCACACAGGAAGGAUCCAUAUAAACCAAUUAUCCAACCAUUCCCGUGACUUUAUGGGCUAUCGUUCAAGUGUGCGACUAAAUCAUUCAAUGGUACGUAGUCAAAUGUUCGAAAAUUCAUUUCUAAUCAAUAAUCCAAUUAAGAAAUUCGAUACCCUUGUUCCAAUUAU
rnacentral:lncRNA from 1 species